ACAAACGAGGCAUUGCAAGGGCUGAUGCUUCCUGGAAAAAGGGCUGGAAAAAUCUGCUCAUUGGCCCAGGGAAAUAAUUAGGAAGCUUAUUUGUGCCCAGGAUCCUAAGUGAAAAAAAAAAAAAAAGAAAUAAAAAAAUCUCCUGUUUAAAAAUAAAGUGAGUUUGGCGGCUCCUCAAAAUGUUAAACAUAGAAUUGCCAUAUGACCCAGCAAGUUCCCCUCUGAGGUGUACACUUCAACAAAUUGAAAGCAGAGUCUCAGGCUGAUCCCUGUACAACAUUCAGAGCAGCUCUGUUCACAACAGCGCAAAGACUCAAUAAACCGGGGGUAGAUGCACACAACAUUACUGAUACAUGCUGAACAGGGAUGAACCUCGAGAACAUGCUGAGCCCCAUGAGCCAGGCCCAAAAGGGCAAACGCGGCAUGAGCGCACUUACACGAGGAAAGAGAAAGAAAGUUAUUUGCCCCAGGUCCUGGAGCUAGGGGAGCUGAGCGCUGAGCCUGGCCCCUGGGGGUGGCCUGAGUUUCCUGGGCCCGGCUCUCGGCUUGCUCAGGACAAAGGGAGUGGCUCACAGUGGCCGAGAAGUUACAGUAGCAGCAGGACCAGCCACCACAGGACGACAGCGCUUCUCGGCCUCCAGGAAAGUUGGAAAUACCUCAGCUUUUUAUGCCAGUCUCACUAACAGCUGCCAAGACAGAUGUGGGCCUCUCAGCUGUAGUCCUUCCUCCUCACGUCCAUAGAGUGUCCGAGAGAGUUAACAGGCUGAAUUCAGAAGAAGCAGGAGUUAGCAUCUUUGUUUUACAGCCAGAGUUUAAUAACUUGAAUUUCCUGCUUCUUUGGAAUUCAUCACCUGCUGUUUGCGGAGCCAGGUGCACCUGCACAGUUUCCUGAGCCCACGCCUACCUGCCGGACUGCCUGCCAGGCCAUUAGCAAGGCCAGUGGACAAACCACACACUUGGGUGUUCUUAGAGUCUGUCACUUUCGUGAUAGUGAGAUGCUCUGGGCUGCCUGCAACCCCUCCCAGUGUUUGCCAGACAACUGAGCUGGAGGCAGGGGUUCAUCUGGAAAAUGCCAGCAAGCAACGGAACGUUCUCAGACACCUUUUACCUAUGAGGACACAUAGCAGUUUGGCUACACUCCACAGUCGACGUUGGUCGUUGUGUGCUGUCAGCGUGUACGUUGCCUCCUGGCUUCUCUAGCUGAUACUGCGGACGCUGUUUUCAGUCGGACGGUUGUUGUUUUGCAGGAGACUGGAUCAUAUAAUGUGACAAUAAAAUGAAAUUCCAACCUGGAGGAUUUGACCACAGAGGGCCCCGUCUGCCAAGAGAUGUCACCACCCACUCAAAGAUCUCAGACCCAGAAAAUCCUGGUGACAGAUGUUUCCAUCAGUGAUUCUCAGCUGGGUGAGUGCUGGGGUGGCAAGGGUGAGAGCUUUUCCCAACUAUAUGUGUGCCUUUUUUCCCUCCAAAGAUCCUUGAGCAGCCACCUAGAAUCAUCACCCUUUCUCAGAGCCCCAUGGUGCCUGGUGGGAGAGCCAUGCCCCUCAGGCGUGUUGGGACAACAAACUGAUUGAGAAUCGAGGCCUUACGGGGGUGAUCUCAGGGACUUCCAAAAUGUACAGGAAAAGAACGGGAUGACUUAAGCAAUGCCCCCCAGGCUUUCAGGUGCAUACGAAUCCCCUGGGGAUCUCCUUACAAUGCAGAUUCUGAUUCGAAAGGUGCCCCGAGGAUGGCCUGGCAUUCUGCAUUUUUAAGAAGUUCCCAGGCAAGACUAGGUACAGAAUUUGCAGGGCCUCUGCGCAAAAUGAAAAUGUUUCAAAAAUAUCAAACAUCUCAAGGUGAAGAGAGAACAUUCAACCAGUGGGUGAUCCUUCUAGGUGCAGAGUCCUCCUGAACGUUGGGCCCCCCGGGGACAGCCAGGUCACAGGCCCACGACGCUGGCAUCCCCCCGGGGGAUACUGAUGUAGAGCCAGAAAUGAGCAAGCCUGUAAAACUGGACUAUUCUUUAGACUCUGAGUUCCCAACCCGGCGGCUCUCCCUUGAAUUCCAUCAAGAGAGGAUGGUUUCUCCAGCACCAAAACGCUCUCGGUGUGAGGUGGCCCCGAGGUGACAGCCUGGGUCCCCGGUUCACGGUCCCGAUCUGCUUGCACCUGUCUUUGGUGAGAUGCUAAAUGUGUAAGCGCUUCACGGACUGCGGGGCGAUGCAAACACCGGCGUCUCUGCCCUAAGAUGCUUCAAGUGACAACCUGGCGAAGGGAACUGGCGUGGGGACCUCGGUGCUGCCCGCGUGGGUCUCCAAGUUCAGGCCUCCGGGCUGAGAUCACUGAGAUUUGGUGUGAGCGAUCCUGAGAGAGGGGGCUUCGGGGAGGCCGCAGAAACCCCCAGCAGCGCCCGCAGUGCUCCCUGGAGCCCAGAGGGGAGCACCACCUGUGGGGACGCCCGCGGGGACCUGGUGGCUUCCCCCUGCU